rnacentral:rRNA from 1 species
AUACGUAGGGAGCGAGCGUUGUCCGGAAUUACUGGGUGUAAAGGGAGCGUAGGCGGGAUCGCAAGUCAGAUGUGAAAUACAUGGGCUUAACCCAUGGGCUGCAUUUGAAACUGCAUUUCUUGAGUGAAGUAGAGGUAAGCGGAAUUCCUGGUGUAGCGGUGAAAUGCGUAGAUAUCAGGAGGAACACCGGUGGCGAAGGCGGCUUACUGGGCUUUUACUGACGCUGAGGCUCGAAAGCGUGGGGAGCAAACAGGAUUAGAUACCCUGGUAGUCCACGCUGUAAACGAUGAUUACUAGGUGUGGGGGGACUGACCCCUUCCGUGCCGCAGUUAACACAAUAAGUAAUCCACCUGGGGAGUACGGCCGCAAGGUUGAAACUCAAAUGAAUUGACGGGG